CCUACGGGUGGCAGCAGUGAGGAAUAUUGGUCAAUGGGCGCGAGCCUGAACCAGCCAAGUCGCGUGAGGGAAGACGGUCCUAUGGAUUGUAAACCUCUUUUGUCGGGGAGCAAAAGACGCCACGCGUGGCGUUCCGAGAGUACCCGAAGAAAAAGCAUCGGCUAACUCCGUGCCAGCAGCCGCGGUAAUACGGAGGAUGCGAGCGUUAUCCGGAAUCAUUGGGCGUAAAGAGUUCGUAGGCGGCACGUAAAGUCUGGUGUUAAAGGCAGAGGCUCAACUUCUGUACGGCACUGGAUACUUGCGAGCUAGAAUGCGGUAGAGGUAAAGGGAAUUCCUGGUGUAGCGGUGAAAUGCUUAGAUAUCAGGAGGAACAUCGGUGGCGUAAGCGCUUUACUGGGCCGUAAUUGACGCUGAGGAACGAAAGCCAGGGUAGCAAAUGGGAUUAGAUACCCGGGUAGUC
rnacentral:rRNA from 1 species